GACGAACCGUGCGAACGUUGUUCGGAAUCACUGGGCUUAAAGGGCGCGUAGGCGGGCAAGCAAGUCUGGGGUGAAAUCUUUCGGCCCAACCGGAAAAGGGCCUCGGAACCUGCUUGUCUGGAGGAAGGUAGGGGUGUGUGGAACUUCCGGUGGAGCGGUGAAAUGCGUAGAGAUCGGAAGGAACGCCGGUGGCGAAAGCGACGCACUGGACCUUUUCUGACGCUGAGGCGCGAAAGCCCGGGGAGCAAACGGG
rnacentral:rRNA from 1 species